ACGAGUGGCGGACGGGUGAGUAACGCGUGGGAAUCUACCCAGUAGUUGGGGAUAGCCCGGAGAAAUCCGGAUUAAUACCGAAUAAGGUCUACGGACGAAAAGGUGCCUCUUCUUGAAAGCACUUGCUAUUGGAUGAGCCCGCGUUAGAUUAGUUUGUUGGUGGGGUAAAGGCCUACCAAGACUACGAUCUAUAGCUGGUUUGAGAGGAUGACCAGCCACAUUGGGACUGAGACACGGCCCAG
rnacentral:rRNA from 1 species